rnacentral:misc_RNA from 2 species
GAAAUGCGAUACGUAAUGUGAAUUGCAGAAUUCAGUGAAUCAUCGAGUCUUUGAACGCACAUUGCGCCCCCUGGUAUUCCGGGGGGCAUGCCUGUCCGAGCGUCAUUGCUGCCCUCAAGCACGGCUUGUGUGUUGGGCCCUCGUCCCCCGCUAAACCCGGGGGACGGGCCCGAAAGGCAGCGGCGGCACCGUGUCCGGUCCUCGAGCGUAUGGGGCUUUGUCACCCGCUCUUGUAGGUCCGGCCGGCGGCCUGCCCGACACAACCAAUAUUUUUAACCAGGUUGACCUCGGAUCAGGUAGGGAUACCCGCUGAACUUAA